GAUGAACGCUGGCGGCGUGCCUAAUACAUGCAAGUCGAGCGAACAGACGAGGAGCUUGCUCCUCUGACGUUAGCGGCGGACGGGUGAGUAACACGUGGAUAACCUACCUAUAUUACUGGUAUAACUUCGGGAAACCGGAGCUAAUACCGGAUAAUAUCUUGAACCGCAUGGUUCAAUAGUGAAAGACGGUUUUGCUGUCACUUAUAGAUGGAUCCGCGCCGCAUUAGCUAGUUGGUAAGGUAACGGCUUACCAAGGCAACGAUGCGUAGCCGAACUGAGAGGGUGAUAGGCCACACUGGAACUGAGACACGGUCCAGACUCCUACGGGAGGCAGCAGUAGGGAAUGUUCCGCAAUGGGCGAAAGCCUGACGGAGCAACGGCGAGUGAGUGAUGAAGGUCUUCGGAUCGUAAAACUCUGUUAUUAGGGAAGAACAAAUGUGUAAGUAACUAUGCACGUCUUGACGGUAACUAAUCAGAAAGCCACGGCUAACUACGUG
rnacentral:rRNA from 1 species